rnacentral:rRNA from 1 species
AGGAAUAAAUUAUUAUUAUUAUUUGUUAAUGUAGUUAAUAAUAAAAUUAAUUUUAUUUUUAAGUUUUAGUAAUGUUUAUUGAAUAGAUUUAAUUUAUGAUAGUUUAUUAGUACUGUGAAGGAAUUAUUAAAUAAAAUGAAAUAGUAAUUUAGAAGAAAAAAGAGUAUUAUUUGUACCUUUUGUAUCAGGGUUUAUUAAUAAAGAAAAAAAAUUUUUAGAUCCCGAAAUAAGGAGAGUUAAAUUAAUAAAAUAGUUAAUGUUACAUCAUUAUUAUUAAUAUUAAUUUUGUAAUGAAAUGUUAUUCGUUCCUUAUAAUAUCUGGUUUCUCAAGAAUUAAAUUUAAUUUAGUGAUUUAAAGUAUAAUUAUUUGUAUAUAUAAUUAUUUUUUUAAAUAAAAAAAAAUAGUAAGGGAUGAGCUUUAUUAUUUAUAUUAUAAAAUGAAAAGGAAUUUAAAGGAGGUAGGCUUGAAAUUAGCUUUCAUUUAGAGGAUGUUAUAAAUUGUUUAAAUUAAAAAAAGAUUUUUUUAUAAUAUUUAAUUUGUAUAUUGAGAUGUUAAGAAUAAUAAAUUUUCUUAAUUAAGUAUAAUAAAAUAAGUAUAUAAAGUGUAAAAUAUUUUUAAAUUUUGAAUUAAUAAUAAGGAAUUAGGCAAAUUUAGUACCCGCCUGUUUAUCAAAAACAUCUCCUUUUGUAUAAAUAUAAGGUAGGACCUGCCCACUGAAGUAUUUAAAGGGCCGCGGUAUUAUGACCGUGCAAAGGUAGCAUAAUCAUUAGUCUUUUAAUUGAGGGCUGGAAUGAAUGGUUUGACGAGAUGCUAACUGUCUCAUUGUUAUAUAUAGAAGUUAACUUUUAAGUUAAAAGGCUUAAGUAUAGAUAAAGGACGAGAAGACCCUAUAAAGCUUUAUAUAUAAUGAAUAUUGAUUUAAGUUUAGGUGGAUAAUUAAGUUUUUAUUAGUAUAUUUUGUUGGGGUGACAUAAAGAUAAACUGAACUCUUUAUUUUAUAUACAUUAAUUUAUGGGUAGAUGAUCCAUUUAUAGUGAUCAAAAGAUUAAGUUACUUUAGGGAUAACAGCGUAAUUUUUUUUAAGAGUUCAUAUCAACAAAGAAGAUUGCGACCUCGAUGUUGGAUUAAGGAUAUGGUUAGGUGUAGCAGUUUAAUUAAUAGGUCUGUUCGACCUUUAAAUCCUUACAUGAUCUGAGUUCAGACCGGUGUAAGCCAGGUCGGAUUCUAUCCUUAUUUAUUAAAGAAUAUGUCUUAGUACGAAAGGACCAGACAUUGUAAAUAUAUUUAUUGUGUUUGUUUAAUAGUAAA